CAAAUGAAAAGACAGAAAAGCAGAAUCAAACACUGCGAAGAAUUAGUGACCAUAAUCCUACUAAAUGGGUGUACUCAUUAAACAUUAUAUUGUUGUGGUUUGAAAGAAAAAUGACAAUAGCCAAGUUGGUAUUUUCUAGAUGAUGUUUAAAAUAGGGUUGGGAGGUAUGUUUUCAAACCAGCUAACCUGGUCUGGCGUGUAAAUACUGCAAAACUGCUGCUACAACGGUACAAAUACCCUUCAUUGGCCUCUUGCAAUAACACCC